GGUUUCAUAGUUCAACGGAUAGAACGACAGUUUCCUAAACUGUAAAUCCGGGUUCGAUUCCCGGUGAGACUA
rfam:Bacteroidetes bacterium GWF2_42_66 gwf2_scaffold_1310, whole genome shotgun sequence.